CGGGUAUCCAUCAGGAUCGAUCUCAAACUGAUUUCUCUUUGUAGAAGACUCUUCUUCCUAAGAAGAAUCUUAGCCUUGAGCACUUUGAUCAACACCUUGAUGUGGACUGUGGGAUCAACUCCUUGAUCAGCAAUCUUUUUCUUCUUCUCCUCAAUCUUCACUCUUGAAGAUAAAGCAGCACCUCUUGGCAUAUGGAAAAAAAGAGACACCCAACUCUUAGGCAUGGAAGAGAAGAGAGGGAGGAGAGGAGGCAUAGAG
rnacentral:lncRNA from 1 species